rnacentral:rRNA from 1 species
GACGAACGCUGGCGGCGUGCCUAAUACAUGCAAGUAGAACGCUGAAGAGAGGAGCUUGCUCUUCUUGGAUGAGUUGCGAACGGGUGAGUAACGCGUAGGUAACCUGCCUUGUAGCGGGGGAUAACUAUUGGAAACGAUAGCUAAUACCGCAUAACAAUGGAUGACACAUGUCAUUUAUUUGAAAGGGGCAAUUGCUCCACUACAAGAUGGACCUGCGUUGUAUUAGCUAGUAGGUGAGGUAAUGGCUCACCUAGGCGACGAUACAUAGCCGACCUGAGAGGGUGAUCGGGCACACUGGGACUGGGACACGGCCCAGACUCCUACGGGAGGCAGCAGUAGGGAAUCAUCGGCAAUGGGGGCAACCCUGACCGAGCAACGCCGCGUGAGUGAAGAAGGUUUUCGGAUCGGAAAGCUCUGUUGUAAGUCAAGAACGGGUGUGAGAGUGGAAAGUUCACACUGUGACGGUAGCUUACCAGAAAGGGACGGCUAACUACGUG